UACAGAGGGGGCAAGCGUUGUUCGGAAUUACUGGGCGUAAAGGGCGCGUAGGCGGCCUCUUAAGUCGAACGUGAAAUCCCCGGGCUCAACCCGGGAACUGCGUCCGAUACUGGGAGGCUUGAAUCCGGGAGAGGGAUGUGGAAUUCCAGGUGUAGCGGUGAAAUGCGUAGAUAUCUGGAGGAACACCGGUGGCGAAGGCGGCAUCCUGGACCGGUAUUGACGCUGAGGCGCGAAAGCUAGGGGAGCAAACAGG
rnacentral:rRNA from 1 species